ensembl:lncRNA
UUUUUUUUUUUUUUUUUUUUAGACGGAGUUUCUCUCUUGUUGCCCAGGCUGGAGUAUGAUGGCGCAAUCUCAGUUCACUGCAACCUCUGCCUCCCAGGUUCAAGCAAUUCUCCUGCCUCAACCUCCCGAGUAGCUGGGAUUACAGGCAUGUGCCACCACACCCAGCUAAUUUUGUAUGUUUUUAGUAAAGACGGGAUUUCUCCAUGUUGGUCAGGCUGGUCUCGAACUACCGACCUCAGGUGAUCUGCCCGCCUCGGACUCCCAAAGUGCUGGGAUUACAGGCAUGAGCCACCGUGCCUGGCCCAGAAAGGAAUGUUUUGUGAGGUAUGAAUGGUUAGUGUGCCUGGGGAGGCCCAUGCAAUGACCUGUUGGAGAAUCUGAUAGCAACAUGGUAAGGCCAGAGUGUGGUACAAUUGCAGGAAGAUGACUCAGGACCUCGGUACCCACAAACAGGAGGCAUCUAUGAGAGGGAGGCGGAGGUAUGCAGUGCCCGAUGGGGACUUUGGGAGGAAGAUCUAAGGAUGGACCUAGCCUUAGAUCUUUGGUCCCCCAGUGAUCAAGAGAGCUCAGAGGAAAAGCUUUCAAACUUAGACCGGGGCAUAGAAAUAAAGGGAAUAACUCUUGAGAUGGUUUCUAAGAAAGAACUAAGUAGCCACACAUUGAUAACAACAGUCAUAUUCCCAGCCUCCCUGUGGUUCCUGACAUGGCUCUGGGCACCUAUGCUUGAGCCAGCAAGCUCAGGCUUCCCACGCUGGGAUCUGCAGACUCACCCCCAGACACCUAUGGAGUUUCAAAUUCUGUCUUUCCCUUUGAUUACUGUUUAAAAUUAGAUUUGUGGUUGCAGGUUCUGGGUCCUCUGGCCAGCCGCUGAGUACCAUAACAUGGUUUCACAAUCUACAUUGGCACUGUGUUUAGAUGGGAUUGGAGCCAAAUAAUGCUAUUUGCAUUGUCACAGGCUAGAGGGAAAAAGAAUAGAGGUGGACUUACUAUGUAAACAAGUAGAGACCAAAGGACGUCACAAAGCAUUGUAUGCCAAAUGUUUUCCUAGUCACUCAAAUGGAAAACUGGUGGAUACGCAGAGUUAACACACAGUCCAUGGGGUACAGGCAUGGAACAUGCUCAAGAAAAAAUAUCUGCCCACAACCCCCAGAGGGAGGUGCAGAUGCCAACCAAGCAAGCCAGAGUCAGGAUCUGGUUCCUGGAGGCUGAAAUCCAGGGAAGCCAGAGAGGAGAGAGCCAGAAGAUGAGUGAGUAUCCAUAUUCUUCAACAGCAGUCCAGUGCUAAGACAGGGCAUGAGGACCAGCUCCACCGGAAACACCAGCCAGCAUCUUAACCGGGGAGGAAGGAAGGUGUGUGCUGGGCAAGUGGGGCACGUGACAGAGUGGAACUGAAGUGGCCGUCACUUGCCCUUAGGCCAGUAGGUAAGAUUGGGGUGACCCAUGUAUCUUAUGGUAAUGAACAAAAUCAUUACCAUGGCAUUGUCUUUUUUUUUUGUUUUUUUGAGACAGUCUUGCUCUGUCGCCCAGGUUAGUGUGCAGUGGCACGAUCUUGGCUCACUGCAACCUCCGCCUGCUGGAUUCAAGUGAUUCUCAUGCUUGAGCUUCCCGAGUGGCUGGGAUUACAGGCGUACGCCACCACGCCCGGCUGGAUUUUUGUAUUUUUAGUAGAGAUGGGGUUUCACCAUGUUGGCCAGGCUGGUAUUGAACUCCCGAACUCAGGCGAUCCGCCUGCCUCGGCCUCCCAAAGUGCUGGGAUU